AAAGUCUGAAACCUUGCAGACGAGGUUGCUGUUGACCAGGAUGUUGCGGGCAGCCAGGUCUCGGUGGACGUAGCUCAUCUCAGCAAGACCCAACUCACAGACCCACAUGUAGGACAGGCCUGCUGACAUCCCAGCAACAGAGCGCUGACAGUUACGAGUGUGCUCUGAAGCUACCCUUCUACACGUGGAGAUGCGUGCGUUGGUGCUGAUCCUGCCACAGUCUCGCUCAGCCCUCUUGGACCAACUGUAUGCAGGAUGCAAGAGAACAGUGAGGAAUCGGGUGUGAUCAGUGACCACAGCACCAAAACCAAGGUCUAAAGCCCGACCUUGAGCUUUAUAGAGUUGGCUCUCACCAGGAAACACAGAGAAACAAGUUAGAUGACCCCACAAGGAAGAAUCCGAUAAAUCCA